AUUGAACGCUGGCGGCAGGCCUAACACAUGCAAGUCGAACGGUAACAGGAAGAAGCUUGCUUCUUUGCUGACGAGUGGCGGACGGGUGAGUAAUGUCUGGGAAACUGCCUGAUGGAGGGGGAUAACUACUGGAAACGGUAGCUAAUACCGCAUAACGUCGCAAGACAAAAGAGGGGGACCUUCGGGCCUCUUGCCAUCGGAUGUGCCCAGAUGGGAUUAGCUAGUAGGUGGGGUAACGGCUCACCUAGGCGACGGUCCCUAGCUGGUCUGAGAGGAUGACCAGCCCAAUGGGAACGAAGACAGGGCCCAAACCCAGACUGGAGGAGCCGGUGGGGAUAUUGCACAAAAGGGGGAAGGCCUGAAUCAGCCAGGCCGUGUGUUAGAAAAAGGCCUUCGGGUUGUAAAAUAUUUUCAGCGGGGGGAAAGGGAGUAAAGUUAAUCCCUUUCCUCUUUGCCGUUACCCGCAAAAAAAGCCCCGCCAAACCCCGU
rnacentral:rRNA from 1 species